GCGUUAGUAGUGUAACAGAUAGAGCAUACAUUCCCGCAAAGAGUGAGGUGCGGGUUCUAGUCCUGCCUGACGCG